rnacentral:ncRNA from 1 species
ACCGACCUUGCGGUGGGGAGUGACUUGAGCAGUGAUGGUUUACAGAGCUCAAGAUUGCCUUCACCUUCGCGUUAUUAGCGAUUGGCGCCUGCGGCCUACACUGUCGUGGGCGCAAUUUUUGGUGGU